AGGAGGAACAACCCCAGUGGCGGGGCCAGCUCUGCAGCCCUGGAUUCAGCUCCCGCAGUAGCUCUGGAGGUCUCCGUCUGCAGGACCUGGAGGCUCCGGGGCGGG
rnacentral:pre_miRNA from 1 species